AACCUGGUGGCUCAGAUGGUAAAGCGUCUGCCUGUAAUGCGGGAGAACUGGGUUCGACCCCUGGGUUG
rnacentral:tRNA from 1 species